rnacentral:lncRNA from 10 species
CUGACAUUUGAGUCAGUGGACUGGGAGAGGAAGACCCACCCUCAAUGUGGGUGGGCACCAUCCAAUCAGCUGCCAGCAGAGGUGGAAUAAAGCAAGUGGAAAUAGCUGGGAUAAGCCGGCUUGAUGAGUCUUCUGGCUUUCAUCUUUCUCUGGUCUGGGUGCUUCCUGCCCUUGGAUAUCAGACUUCAGGUUCUUCGGCCUUUGGACUCUGAGACUUGCACCAGUGGAUUUCUGGGGACUCUCAGGCCUUCAGCCAUAGACUAAAGCCUGCACUGUAGGCUUCCCUACUUUUGAAGCUUUUGGACUUGGACUGAGACACGACUGGUUUCUUUGCUCCUCAGCUUGCAGCCAGCCUAUCGUGAGACUUCGCCUCGUAAUUGUCAGGUAGGGUUCUUCUUAAUGGAGAGAAUUGCUGAUUAAAUUGGUGACAAGAAAUUGCACUUAAAGAUUCAGCAGACAGAGAAUAUAAACACGGGGGAUAAACACAUCUGCCUGCAUCAAUCAAGGACAGCUGCGGUCUACCCCCAGAAAGGAGUUGAGUGGGUCUGCACCUUCAUUUUCAUCCCUGCUUCUGGAGCUCCACCAUGCCCCAUGCCUUCUGCCCUGUUCUACCUGUCUCUUUCUGAAAGGAGCAACCUGAUGAGAGUUAGGGGCUAGAUUUGGAAGCUCUUGCACUGUGGAAUUCUUCAAAGGUAUUUAGGAGUUGAGCUACACCCAAAGACCUGAAGACACCUCAGAGGAUACCAUGAGGAAGAUUCCAAAAGUUCUGGCAGGAUCAAGUCCUGUUAGCAUUCUUAAACAUCUCCAGUAAAGACUAAUCCCUUUCUGUGCGCCUCUCUUCUUGGUGCCCAAAUCUGUUCACAUGCCCUUCUGCCCCGGGCGUGCAUGUCUUUUGUAUCUUAGUGCCUUAGUUUAUUCCUUAGUCUCUUCCUUUGCUGCUUCAUCUUCUACUUUUUCUUUACAUUUUUAAUUUACAUUUCUCCAUUUAUAACAUCUCUAUCUCACUCUUUCCCUCAGAUUGUAAAUUUUAAUUAUGUUCUUCAGUAGAUCUUGUACUUUUUCAUAGAAAUGUACAUUUGCUCAUCUAUGUUGAAUACAGGCUGAUAUGGUUUGGCUCUGUGUCCCCCACCAAAUCUCAUCUCAAAUUGUUAUCCCCAUAAUCCACACGUGUUAAGGGAGGGGCCAGGUGGGAGGUGAUUGAAUCAUGGGGGUGGUUUUCCCCAUGCUGUUCUUGUGAUAGUGAGUUCUCACAAGAUCUAAUUGUUUUAUAAGACAAUCUUCCCUGCUCUUGCGAGCUCUCUCUUUCCUGCCACCAUGUGAAAAAGGUCUUUGCUUCCCCUCCGCCUUCCAUCAUGAUUGUAAGUUUUCUGAGGCCUCCC